CUCUCCAGCUUACGAGUUAUCUGCUUUAGGCUACGUGUUUGAGAAUUAUACCACUACAUUUUAAUUUUCAUAUUAUAUUUUUAGACUCAACCUCAUACAAAGUGACACACUUACUGUAAAAUUCAUUAGUAUUAUUUGUUUUCACACCAAAAUUCUCCUUAAAACAGAGCUAACAGGGAACCUCUUUAACAUAUUCCAUCCCUGCUAAACCUGACUUUACCCUCCUCUCAUGUUAGUGCGUGUCCUCCUCGCUCCUCUGUCCAUGCAGAGGUGCAUUGAGCACCCUGGACAAGGGGGAUAAAAGCAGCAUUAACGGGGCACUAGGCCCCUGUGUGUGGUCUCAUUUACAAUGACUUGUGCAUACAUACUUCUCUGUCAUAAAAAAAGAAAAAUGAGUAGCCUAUUUUAAGUAUAUUAAAGUCGAUUAACAUAACAUGUAAUUGUCUGGCAAAUUAAAGCAAGUGAAGUCAGUUAGAUUAUCACCUUAAAGACUUGUCAUUAACAUUACAGCUACACAGAGUCCCUUUUAUCACAUUUUUCUUAUUUGAUAAAAAGACAAUGGUAAAUUGAAGGCUAAAGUUAAACAAAACAAGGAAUGACAAAAUUUGUCUGCAAGUGCACAUUAAGUUUAGUUUAAACAAAUACUUAUUGCAUAUAAUUAAACAUGCAUAUUUCAUGUUACUAUUUUGAAAAUAGGAUCUGUCGUUGAGCAGCACAUGGUGGAACACGUCAAACAAACCUCCGUCAGACACAAGUCACUUUUCAGCCGUUCUAAAGUCUCACUUCAACACUGGAUGCAAUUUAUCUACAGAUUUUCUCAGGGUCUGCGAUUACGUCAAAUCGACAUGAUAGAUGACACCAUUGCAGGCAGUACAACAACACUUAGUAAAAUGUCCAAAAAAAAUAAGGAGGGUAUGUGUGGCUGCAGUUCAAAGAUUGAGACGUCGUACAGGUCAGCAGAUUAGUGGCCGAAGGGAGUUUGUUGUGAUCGAUGAGAGUCACUUUCGUCACAAACGAAAGUCUGGGAGAGGAAGAAUGGCUGGGGGAUGGAAAAGAAGAAAGUGGGUAUUUGGAAUGCUGGGCAUAAAAGAUCGAGGGAAAACGAGGCCUAUCUUGCGACUUGUGGAGAAAAGAUCUCGAAGACAUCUUGUUCCUGUGAUUACCCUUCAUGUCCGGAUUGGUUCCUCAGUGAUAAGUGAUGAAUAUCGUGUACUCCCAAAUUUAGGGUAUGAACACCAUACUGUUAACCACAGCAGGUGGUAUGUUAACCCUCGUACAGGUGCCCAUACCCAACAUCUUGAGAGAGCCUGGAGGUCUUACAAGGAGCAAAUAUGGCGACUCAAGGGUAACAGAAAUGAUAGACUACUGUCAGAACACCUUACAGUUAUUGAGUGGAAUGAGUGGCUUGCAAAAAAGCACAAAAAUGGUACAUUGGGGAGACUGAUAUAUGACAUUUCCAAAAAAUACAAAUAAUUCUAAAAGUUAAUGUUGCUACUGCUAUUUUUUUUUUUUCUUUUUGAAAAUGUUAUUUGAAAACUUUAUGUAAAGAGCUACAGGUCAUAUAGUUUGCAUCCAGCCGUGUUCUGUAUUACCUCAAAUAUUGGCUUAUUGUUUAUGACACUGUUUUUAUUUUUGUAUCAACAUUUGUGUGUCCAAUCUGUAAGCAUUGUUCUGAUGUUUUUGUGAUUGGCAUCUUAAAAAUACAGUGCGUUCUGUAUCUACUCUGUGUGUGGUCAUUUAUUUUUGUUACAAUGUAUUUUAAAAAAUUUACACAUCUAUAAAUAGGUUGUAAGGUAUAUAUGGUCCCCACUUUAGAUGGGCUCACUCAAGAUACUUUACUAACAAGUAGCAAAUGGUUUGUAACUUCCUAAAUAAGUUUAUUGAGGUAUUUAUGAGUAUUUAUAGAUAAUCUAUCGAAAAAGAAGUUGGUCGAUAGUGAGUUACAGCUUUGGCAGCCUUUAAGUGACAGUUAUAAAUGUAUUGUAAGACAUCUGUUAAGAUAUAGCAGCUGGCUGAUGUAACCCUGAUAUUCAGUGUUUAUAAAACAUCUAGUAUGAAACUACUUUGUGUAGUACAUGUAGAGUUUAUAGUAUUAUAUAGGGUAUGUUAACCAUCUACUUACCUUUCACCAAUGAUUUUGUAUACCACUGAACAUCCUGAAAUGACUGGUUUGUAACUGAUGCAGAGUAGUGUUUAUAAAUGAUUAAUCAAUGAGUUUUAGAACAUGAAAACAUAAUUAAUAAAAAGUGUUGUACAUUAGCUUGUUCAUCAUGAAUAAAGUGUUUAAAGCAGUGCUUGUAAACUAUUAACUGAUUAUGAGAAAUACUUUGUAGAUGCUGUAGAGAUAAUUAAGUAGCCAUUAACUAAUGCUUAACAGAUGAUUAAGUAAUGCUUAAUAGUGUGCACUUAUUAUAAAGUGUUACCGAUGUGGUAAAUAUCAGUCUUGUUGUUUCAAUUAGAUUUAUUUAUUAAAGAUAAAUUACAUUGUUAGCACAUCCAAAGAAAUGCAACAUGUUUUCUGUAAUUAGCAGCAGUUAACAGCAUCCACCCUCGUCUAACACUUCUUUCAAACCAUUUCUUUUUUUGUAAGUUAAAUUUUCUUCAUUCAAUGUGUACAUCAACACAAACUGCAGAAUUAAUUAAGGGUCAUUUUGUGCUGAGGAUGUGUAGCAUUGUCAUAAAUUUGUAUAGACAAUACAUGUUGGUAAAGCAAAUCACCUGGCUGAUUCCAUUAUUGCUUUCUAUUCUUUGGAGGUUUGAAUCAGAAUUAAAGAACAUAAACAUUUAACAAUUUUUGAGCAACAAAAACUAGAAAAUGUUUAGUUCGUCAAAGUUGCCACAUGUAGGAUUUCACUCACUCUAUUUGGAAAGCACUAUUGGACCAACCAGUUAAAAUCUCUCUUUGGUUCAGUUUCCCAUUAAAUCUGUUUUAACCUGUACUGUAUUGUAACACACACUAAUUUUAUUUUUCCUGCCUCAAUGCUAUACCUUUAUGAAUACUAUAAAAAUCCCAGUGUAGCAACUUAUAGAUAUAGACAUUCUAUCCAGUACUGGGAAAUUAAAUACAUUAAUGUUUUUGACAGUCAACAUUUAAGCAUGCCAUUAAAAAAAACCAAACA